UAGCAUAUCAAUAAGCGGAGGAAAAGAAACCAACAGGGAUUGCCCUAGUAACGGCGAGUGAAGCGGCAACAGCUCAAAUUUGAAAGCUGGCCUUCGGGUCCGCGUUGUAAUUUGCAGAGGAUGCUUCUGGCGCGGUGCCUUCCGAGUUCCCUGGAACGGGACGCCUUAGAGGGUGAGAGCCCCGUACGGUUGGACACCAAGCCUCUGUGAAGCUCCUUCGACGAGUCGAGUAGUUUGGGAAUGCUGCUCUAAAUGGGAGGUAAAUUUCUUCUAAAGCUAAAUACCGGCCAGAGACCGAUAGCGCACAAGUAGAGUGAUCGAAAGAUGAAAAGCACUUUGAAAAGAGGGUUAAAUAGCACGUGAAAUUGUUGAAAGGGAAGCGUUUGCGAUCAGACUUUGCCCUGCGGAUCAUCCGGCGUACUCGCCGGUGCACUCCGCUGGGCGUCUGCCAGCAUCGGUUUCCGCGGGGGGAUAAAAGCCUGGGGAACGUAGCCUCCUCGGAGGUGUUAUAGCCCCUAGCAUAAUACCCUCGCGGGGACCGAGGUCCGCGCUUCGGCAAGGAUGCUGGCAUAAUGGUCGUCAACGACCCGUCUUGAAACACGGACCAAGGAGUCGAACAUUUGUGCGAGUGUUUGGGUGUCAAACCCUCACGCGUAAUGAAGGUGAACGUAGGUGAGAGCCCUCUGGGCGCAUCAUCGACCGAUCCUGAUGUCUUCGGAUGGAUUUGAGUAAGAGCAUGACUGUUCGGACCCGAAAGAUGGUGAACUAUGCGUGGAUAGGGUGAAGCCAGAGGAAACUCUGGUGGAGGCUCGCAGCGGUUCUGACGUGCAAAUCGAUCGUCAAAUCUGCGCAUGGGGGCGAAAGACUAAUCGAACCAUCUAGUAGCUGGUUACCGCCGAAGUGGUUCCAAC
rnacentral:rRNA from 1 species